AAUAUACUCCCUCCGUCCGGAAAUACUUGUCGGAGAAAUGCAUAAAAAUGAAUGUAUCUAGAACUAAAAUACAUCUAGACAAAUCACCUCCUCCGACGAGUAUUUUCGGACGGAGGGAGUAUAUA
rfam:Triticum aestivum genome assembly, contig: Triticum_aestivum_CS42_TGACv1_scaffold_049344_1BS